CCCCAGACACCAAGGCAGCCAAAUAAACGUAUAAAAUAUUUCUUUAAACAUAAGUUAGACAUACAAAUCGUACAUCUCAUUCCUCUAAACAAAGUCUCUAAAAAGCGGCCGCCUGGGAUGUACCUAGCAUGAGAAAUUGUUGAAUGAAGUUUGACCAAGCUAAGUUUACAUGUCAAUCGGAUGCGGAGUUUCAGGCUGCCAUGGCGAAGUGCUGGUCACCGAAAUAGUCUGUUUUCCUAAUGGAAAUGGGGGACUCCCCUUGGAUCUUGGGUAGUAAUUAUUCCUUGACCCUCCUCUGCCUCCCCUCCAAAAAUUGCUCUCCUAUGUGUUAAUUUGAGAGAGUAAGAACGGCCAUUAAUUUCACCAGGCAGCCGCACUGGAACAGGCCGACUUAGAGUUCCAUGCAAGUACCGCCUGGUCACGCUGGAGGUAUUGCGGCUGUUCCAGGUUUCUGGAACCAUUUGCAGCUGUGAGAAAAGUGCUGCGCAUGACAUGGGCUUGUUAAGGAGGGGAUGUGACCAGGGGUGAUUAGCUCUUUUGCAGGAUUUUGGACAGUUCUGGUGCAUCACACACUUAUUAUGGUAGAAUUUGGAUUGAUAGACUCAUAGCACCAUUACAUUGAGCGGUACUGGUUCC